rnacentral:rRNA from 1 species
UAACCUGCCUGGUAGCGGGGGAUAACUAUUGGAAACGAUAGCUAAUACCGCAUAACAGUAGAUAUCGCAUGAUAGCUGCUUAAAAGGUGCAAUUGCACCACUACCAGAUGGACCUGCGUUGUAUUAGCUAGUUGGUGAGGUAACGGCUCACCAAGGCAACGAUACAUAGCCGACCUGAGAGGGUGAUCGGCCACACUGGGACUGAGACACGGCCCAG